rnacentral:lncRNA from 1 species
GGGAAAGUAUGAAGUCAUCUUUCUCAUUGCUCUCCUCUUUAAGUCCAAGAGCAAAGUACUUCUAAAAGGCAGGCUUUGUGGUUCGCAUGGAAUGUAAAUAGCUCAAAUGGCCCCACUUCCAAGAAGCCUUCUUUAACCCUAAGGCUGAAUGAAAUAUUUUGGAAUAAUGUAGGCAGCCAAGAGGCUCAUCUCCAAAAGAGAAAAUCAUCAUGAGGGCCACUGUCAUAAGGAAGCCUGGAAGAGUGAAGAAAGGUCUGAUUGAUCACAAGGUCCUAUCAAAUGUCAAAGCUGGCCCUGGCUGACCUCCCAUCUAUUCAGAGCUGCUUUGAUUUAAUCUCCAAACUGGCUGCUUCUCCAGGCUGGAAGAAGAUUGAAAGUUCCAACAAGGCAAAGGUGAUGAAAAUGUCUUCAUGGAAUCUUUGGGUACUAAGGAAAAGAGAAAAUGGAGGAGGGCAAUUACCAAAACAAGAAAUCAUCUAAUAAAACAUGAUCCACAGAACAGGAAGCCUGAUUUCUCUUGUCAAGUCACUAAACAGGCAAGAGCCUUCUCAGAUAUGUCCUGAACACCUUCUCUUUGCCUGACAAGUUCAAGAAAUUAAGUCAAAUAAAUAUUUGAUGGAAAUCUACCUGGCUCCAAAGACUGGGCUUCUAACAAUCCUCUCCACAACGUUUGAAUACAAAAAAAGUAUCCUGCUAAAGGACAGAGCCCCUCCAUCUCUUCCCGCCAAGCUCUCUGCGUGCCUGGUGAGAGGUAUAGCACUUUUGCUUUCUUUUUCAAUUUGCUCUUUAAAUGAGUGACAAUAUCACCUAGUGAUUAAGGACCUGCCUGGAGCUGGGCUGAUGCUUGGAGUUGGGCUGAACCUGAGCCUGAAUUCGAGCUCUUCUUCUUCUUGCUGACUUUGACCCUAGGUGAGUUAAUUUUUCUAAGCUUCAGUUUCUUGGUCUAUAAAAAGGAGGAUGAUAAUUCUUUUCUCACUCAGUAUUGUUUUAAAGAUUAGUAAGAUAAUAUAUGCAACGCAUUUAGCACAGUGCCUUGCACAUGAUAAACCCUGAAUAAAUGGUAGCCAGUUUUAAAAUACAACAUAAUUUUAAGCGUUGGUAUUUCUUAUGACUCCAAUCUCAUCCCUCCUUUUCCAUUGUCACUACAUUUGCUCUGUGUCUCCCAUAUCGAAUCUGGAACUUGCAUUCAAAGCCUUUAUCUCUCAGUGCCAAAAGAGUAGCCCCGCAUGGAUGAACAAAGGUACUCAAAUUCAACAUGCCCAGAAUUAAACCCAGUAAAUGGGGAUUCAGUCACAACCCCAGUCUAUCCACCUAAGGGACAAAGUCCUGGCAGUCACCUAAGACUCCUCAUUAUCUUCAACCCCCAUCCCUGAUCAGUCACCCUAUUGGUUCUAACUUAUAAUAUUCAUUUAUUUUAUCACUACUGCCACAACCUGGGGUCAGACAUCAAACUUCUCUAUUCUGCCCCAUUGUUACCUCUUGACUACAAUCUCUGCCUCAAAUCUAAUCUGACCUCAUUCCUCUAUCUACUCUGCUAUGAAAGAGAUUACAGUUACACAUAUCUAAUUUUAUUACCUUUCCAUAUAAUGGUUCUCCAUUCUCCUGUGGGGUGCAUACAGUUUAGGGAACAUAAAAGUAUUCACUGGGAGCUAAGAAGAAAAUACCAUUUUUUUUUAAAUUUUAUUUUAACAAUUAUUUUGAAUAUAUUUAAAAGUAUUUAUUUAUAAUGUAUGUGAUAUAGUAGUAAAGUAAAGUAAUACAUAUGAGUGAUGGUUAAUUUUAAGUGUGUCUCUGGCUAGGCCACAGUGCCCAGAUAUUUGAUCAAAAAUGUAUGAAUGUUACUCUGAAGAUAUUUUUUUAGAUCAAAUUAACAUCUAGGGGAGUACCCAUUGUGGCUCAGUGGAAAUGCCUCCAACUAGUAACCACGAGGGUACAGGUUGGAUCCCUGGCCUUGCUCAGUGGGGAGCUGUAGUGUAGGUCACAGAUGUGGCUCAGAUCCUGAGUUGCUGUGGCUGUGGUAUAGGCCAGCAGCUGUAGCUCCAAUUCAACCCCUAGCCUGGGAACUUCCAUAUGCCGCAAGUGUGGCCCUAAAAAACACAAUAAAAUAAUAUAAACAUCUAAAUCAAUAGAUUUGUAGUAAAGCAGAUUACCCUCCAUAAUGUGGGUGGGCCUCUAUCAAUCAGUUGAAAGCUUCAAGAUAAAGACUGACUUCUCCCAAAGGAGGGAGAAUUUUGCCAGCAGGUUGCUAAAGGUUGCUAAAAUAUCAAAUCGUUGCUAGUAUCUAACUUACAGUCUACCCUGCAGAUUUUGGACUUGCCAGCCUCCACAAUCAUGUGAGUCAAUUCCUAAAAAUAAAUCUCUCUCUCUAUCUCUCUCUCCCUCUCUCUCUCUCUCUCUCUCGAGUGUGUGUGUGUGUGUGUGUGUGUGUGUGUGUGUGUAUCCUUUUGGUUCUGUCUCUCUGAAGAAGCUUGACUACUACAGUAAUUUUAAAAUGUAUAUAAUAUGUUCAAAAGUUUUUCAGAACCAAUGUUGUAAAGCUUUUUUUUCCAUAGUUUUUCACUAGGAGUUUUAGAAUUUCAGGUCUUCCAUUUAAGUCUGUUAUCCAUUUUGAAUUGAUUUUUGUAUAUGUUGUAACAUGAGGUCUAGUGUCACUCUUUUUUGCAUGUAAAUUUCCAGAUUUCCAACACCGUUUGUUGAAGAGACUAUCUUUUCCCCAUUUUGUACUCUUGACAAAAACCAGUUGACCACAUGGGCACACAUUUAUUUCUGGGCUCUCUGUUUGGUUCCACUGGUUUGUAUGUUGGUCUUUAUGCCAGUAUAUACUAAUUUGAUUAUGGUAGCUUUGUAGUGUAUUUCAAAAUAAGGAAAUAUGAUGCCUCCAGGCUUGUUCUCUUUCAAGAUUGUUUGAGCUAUUCAUAUAUUUUGUGGGUUCAUAUAGAUUUAGAAAUGUCAUUGGGAUUUUGAUAUGGAAUGUGUUGUGUUGAAUUUGUAGAUUGCUUUGGGCAACAUGGACAUUUUAACAAUAUUAAAUCUUACAAACCAUGAAUACAGGUUUUCAUUUGUUUGUGGUCUUUAAUUUCUCGUAUCAGUGUUUUGUACUUUUUAUUAUAGAAGCGUUUUGCCUCCAUAGUUGUUUAUCCCUAAGUAAUUUAUUCUUUUUGAUGCUAUUUUAAAUGGAAUUGUCAUCCUAAUUUCCUUUCAAGGUGCUUUGUUGUUAGUGUAUAGAGAUGCAAUUGAUUUUCAUAUAUUGAUUUUUUUUUUAUCUUGCAACUUGAUUAAAUGUAUUUAUUAGUUUUAAACACUAUUCUUAUGGAGGCUAUAUGUAUAUAGAUAGAUAGAUAUACACACAUACAUAUGUGAUUGUACUGUCUACAAUCAAGAAAAAUUUACUUCUUCCUUUCCAGUUUGGAUGUCUUUUUUUCUUUUUCUUGUCUAAUUUUUCUGGCUAGGCACAAAAAAAUAAAUAAAUAAACAAAUAAAAAACAAUAGCCUGGGAACCUCCGUAUGCCGUAGGAAGUGGCCCUAGAGAAAAAAAAAGGCAAAAAGACAAAAAAUAAAAAUAAAAACUAAAGUAAAAAAUAAUUUUUCUGGCUAGGACUUCUAGUAUUGUGUUGUGCCGAGACCAGCUCAGCAGGAUGGGGCUGAAGAAUGAGUGCUGUGAAACUUAAGGAAAAAAGUUAACAUAAAACAAGACAUAGAGACAUUUAUCUUAAGUAAAGGUGGGAACUGGGGGACUCAAGGUCUCAGGGACCAAGAGCACCGCCUUAAGAAACCACACUGCUUUUAUUGUGUUUUUUAGGAUUAUGUCAAGUGAGAAGGGGGUUGUAGGUGCAGGAUAUAGUUUUUUUAAGUUAUUUUAAAGGUCACAUAGCCGGUUGCUGAUUAAGCUUUUACUCUGACCUUUAGGCAUUUAACAAUCAUUAGCAUUUGAGGAAGCUUGGCGUCAGCUAUCUAUGCAUAGUACCUAAAGAAUCACCAUUGUGCUUCUGCAGACGAGGUGCCUAUCUGCAGCAACCCUGCAUGCCUAGGUUUGCACCUCGGUUCUUCUUUGCUAAUGCAUAUCCAGCUAAAAACCCCUUGGGGCCAUGGGGCUCCUCUUUUAUUCUUAAGAGGACAUAUCAUGCUGUGCAAAUGGCGUGCCAAUCUGCACAGGUCCAGCGUGCCUAGACCAACGCAUUAAGUCCUCUUUCAGCUGACCCUAUGAAUACCUUAUGCCUUUAGGUCUUUGUUCUUAAGCUUAAGUCAUUCACCAUCACUGUGACUGUUUUUCAAGCAGCAAGAUGGGGUAAAGUAAAGCAAGACAAGAUAGAGUUUUUAGCAAAGAGGCUAAGAAAAUAUUGUAGAAAUGUCUCGCGACAGUGUUGAAAGAAGUGGGCAUCCAUUCUUUGUUCAUAAUCUUAGAGAAAAACUUUUAAGUUUUUCAUCACUGAGUGUGAUGUUAGCUGUGGGCUUUUCAUAUAUGUUUUUUAUUAUAUUGAAGCACUUUUUUCUAUUUCUGGAUUAUUGAGAGUUUUAUCAUGAAAGGGUAUUAAAAUUUUGUCAAAUGCUUUUUAUGCAUUUGUUAGGAUUAUCAUGUGACUUUUAUCCAUUAUUCUGUUAUUGUUAAGUGGUAUAUCACAUGACACUGGGCUUAGCAAUAAUUUCAUGGAUAUCACACCAAAAACACAAGCAACAAAAGAAAAAAUAAAGAAGUGUGUACCCAUAUUAACUUAAAAAAUUUAUGCACAGUAAAAAA